GACGAACGCUGGCGGCGUGCCUAAUACAUGCAAGUCGAACGCAGUGGGGACGGGUGAGUAACACGUGGGUAACCUCCCAUCAGAGGGGAUAACACUUGGAAAAAGGUGCUAAACCGAUACUGAUGGAUGGACCCGCGGUGCAUUAGCUAGUUGGAGAGGUAACGGCUCACCAGGGCCACGAUGCCUAGCCGACCUGAGGGGGUGUCCGGCCACACGGGACCUGAUACACGGCCCAGACUCCUACGUGAGGCAGCAGUAGGGAAUCUUCGGCAAUGGACGAAAGUCUGACCGAGCAACGCCGCGUGAGUGAAGAAGUUUUUCGGAGCGUAAAACUCUGUUGUUAGAGAAGCGGUAUCUAACCAGAAAGCCACGGCUAACUACGUGCCAGCCGCCGCGGUAAUUC
rnacentral:rRNA from 1 species